rnacentral:rRNA from 1 species
AGCACCACAACGGGUGGUAGCUUGCGGUUUAAUUGAUCAACGCCGAAAUCUUACCGGGACCGACAGCAAUAUGAAGGCCAGGCUGAAGACUUUGCCGGAUUAGCUGAGAGGUGGUGCAUGGCCGUCGUCAGUUCGUACUGUGAAGCAUCCUGUUAAGUCAGGCAACGAGCGAGACCCACGCCCACAGUUGCCAGCGUACUCUCUGGAGUGACGGGUACACUGUGGGGACCGCCGCUGCUAAAGCGGAGGAAGGAAUGGGCAACGGUAGGUCAGUAUGCCCCGAAUAUCCCGGGCUACACGCGAGCUACAAUGGUUGGUACAAUGGGUAUCUACCCCGAAAGGGGACGGGAAUCUCCUAAAACCAAUCUUAGUUCGGAUUGAGGGCUGCAACUCGCCCUCAUGAAGCUGGAAUCCGUAGUAAUCGCGUUUCAACAGAACGCGGUGAAUACGUCCCUGCUCCUU